rnacentral:lncRNA from 1 species
AGACAACAGGCCAACUUCUGCCCCAUAUUCCUCUCCAUUGUAGGCCCGAGGCAGGAACCAGGGCCCAGCUGCUAAGUGGGGCCCAGAGACAGUCUGGACAGGAUCCCAGGAGACACUAAGCCUCUUCAGAGAGAAAGCAGGCCUGGCCCUGGGAUCAGAGGAGCCUCCCAGGACGCUGCUCUUGCUGUUGCCACUGAGUUAAGGAAUAUUAGCCCUGAGCUAACAUCCCCUGCCAAUCCUCCUCUUUUUGCUGAAGAAGAUUGGCCCUGAGCUAGCAUCCGUGCCCAUCUUCCUCUACUUUAUAUGUGGGAUGCCUACCACAGCAUGGCUUGAUAAACGGUGCCAUGUCCACACCCGGGAUCUGAACUGAUGAACCCCGGGCUGCUGAAGCGGCACAUGUGAACUUAAUCGCUGCACCACCAGGCCAGCCCCCCCAGAGAACACUUCUUUAUCCACAGGAAACCAAUACAAAAGCGCAUUUUACCAGCAAUCUGAAGGAGCUUGGAAGAGGAAUCUCCCCAGUUGGGUCUCCAGAAGGGCAUGCAGCCUGGCUGACACUGAUGACAGCCCGUGAGA